rnacentral:rRNA from 1 species
UACGUAGGGUGCAAGCGUUGUUCGGAUUUACUGGGCGUAAAGGGCGCGUAGGCGGCAAUUCAAGUCAGCUGUGAAAUCUCUGGGCUUAACCCAGAACGGCCAGCUGAUACUGCUUUGCUAGAGUGCAGAAGGGGCAAUCGGAAUUCUUGGUGUAGCGGUGAAAUGCGUAGAUAUCAAGAGGAACACCUGAGGUGAAGACGGGUUGCUGGGCUGACACUGACGCUGAGGCGCGAAAGCCAGGGGAGCAAACGGG